UCACAGUUUUUGUUUGUUUUUUCAACUGCUCAUUAAGGCGUCCUACACCUUAGCAAAAGGAUCACAUGAAAUUUUCUCAAUGCUUUGGAGCAUAGUCAUGCACUCAAAAUUUAUUUUAUCUCUACUCCCACCUUUCCUCCACCCAAACUUAUCCUUGGGUUUUCAUCGAAUAGCGCUUUCGAGCCUGCCUGCCUGCUUUAGUUCAUGUAGCUCCUCCUCUGGCACUGGGGUAAACACCUGUAUUACCAUUUUAAAGGCUAUCAUUACUCUUUAUCUGUGAAGAGUAGAACAUGAAGAAACUUACUUUAUUUUGAUAUUCUCCAGAUUCCUAAAGAUUAGAGAUCAUUUCUCAUUCUUCUAGGAAUACUUACUUCAGGAAGAAUCCAGAUAAAAGAAUUACACCUUACAUCAUGGAGCAGGUUUAUAACGGCUGCUUUGAUGUCUUCGCCUGAUCAUUCUAACAUCUGAGUCAUCUCACAAUGAGCAUCUUGGUUCCUCUGAGAAUUGGUCACAUUUUCCUGGUUCUUUAUAAAAAAGAACAGAAGGCAGCAGAGAGACAAAUCUUUAGUGUUGGGUAGCUAUAGACACGUUGGUGAAACGGCUACAUGAGGGUGGAUGACAAGAAAGUACAGAUUGUGGCAAUCACUUCAAAUGGAAAAAGCACUGCUUGAAUGAAGGUAUAUAAGUGCCAACUUGCAAGGAGACUAGGUAGGUUUCACCAGAAAUUAAGGAGGCUUAAGAACAGCCAAGUCCAGCUUGACAGGAGUGGUGGUAGCACAAAUACAAGACUGGUGUCUUUAAAUAAGCCAAGGGCAGUUGAAAGUAGCAAGAGCUAGUUUGCUUUAGGUCCAUCAUGUUUUAUAUUCAUACUUUCAUGUCAGUGGAGCAAAAAAAUUGAAUACAAUAUAACAGAAUGGUAGAACCUUAUUUUUAAAAUCUCUGUGUUAUUCUGAUCUUUAACUUACUUAUAUCCUUGAUAGAGAUCUUUACCUGAAGCUCAAGACUAUAGAAAUAGUAUAAUCAGUAUAACAAUACAGCACUUUAUUUAUAUCCUGUAUGGUUUAGGGAGGGUUAAAGGCCAUUCAAAAGGCUACAUAAAAUUCAACAAUAUUAUGUAAACAAAAGGUGAGAUAAAGAAACAAAGCAAAACAAAAGUGGAAACAGAGAUGAAAGGCAUAAAUAAGAUUAAAAAUGCAAGUGAUGAAGAUGAAAGCUUGUAUAUUUACCCCAGAUGGACCACAGGGUUAUUGUUAAGCGCUAAACAGUGAACAAUGCUAUACUCAUGCAUAUCCAAUUAGAACAUGUGGAAAAAAUAGAGGCCUGUUAGAAGCCUAAUUAACAAUUUGUAAAAAAAGCAAAAAACAAAAGACAAAAAAAAAAAAACUUCAUUAUAUGGCCAAGCACAAAAUAAAUCAAGGUAAGAAAAAUGUGUAGUCAAGAAUAGGAAAAAAUUAUGGCUUUGAAGUAUAAGUUAUUUUAAGAAAGAGGAAACAUCUUCAGACUAUGCAGUAAAAAAACA